AUGGGUCUCGAGCACCAGGGCGGUGACCGUGGGACAGCGGAGGCGGAGGCGGAGGCGCAGGCUGAAAGUGUUAUGCAUGUAAAUCGUCUUGUCAGAACCAGGUGGCUCCGGCGACUUCUGACGGAGGUUCACCAGCACCAGGCUGGUGAGCGCCGGCGCGUUGUCGACCAGGACCUGGAGAUGCCCCUCCAAAGCGAAGCAGUGGCGCAGCGUCAGGUCCGUGAGGCGCGGGAAGGCCAGGCGCGCCGACGGCUCGAGGUUGCAGUGCUCGAGCUCCAGCACCCGGAGCGUGGCGGCGAACGGCAGGGAGCCGAGCGGCGGCCUGUACAUGUCGUCACACUGGUUUUUCUCCUCGGAGCCGACGCAGAGCUCUUCCAGCCCGGCCGCGGCGGGGUCGGCGAGGAGGCCGGCGACCCGGACGUCCUCUUUCGGUUCGCGGUUGCUGUACCAUGUGUUCAAGAGGCGGUAGGUGCCUUCCGUCAGGAAGAGCGUGAGCCUCUUGAGGGUCGUCCUGCGACGGCGGCGGGAGGCGCGGAAGAAGGCGUCGAGGCAGGCGUAGCGAUCUUGGGCGGAGUAGUGUCUGCUGUCGAGGUUGAGGACACCCGUGCGGCGCCACAGCGGACGCCAUCGGCGCGAGAGGGCGGCGCUGGCCGCGGCCUCCUUGGCCGGCGCGAAGGACAGUACGUGCUGGAGAAGAUCGUCAGGGAGGGCGGAGAGUCGGUCGGCGGCGGCCAUCGUGGACGCGGACGGCUCGGCUAUAGGGGUUUGUUUGUGCGUGGGACUAUCUGCGUGGGAGUACAAUACAAGUAUUUAAGGGGCGAUCGAGUCGGUUUGGUUUCUGGCGAAAGCGCCGCAUUGCUUGGGAGUUUUUCUUUUUACGUUUCCGUUGAAAAACGGUUUUUUGCUAAAAGUGCCCUAAUUUUUGCACAUCUAAGUCAUGCCUCAUUAAUUUUACGAAAAUAUUAA
rnacentral:rRNA from 1 species